UUGGCUGAUAAAAAAAGGAUAAAAAAAUGAGGGAUAAAUUAGAUUUUUGGUCCUCAAACUAUAAGGCGUAUGAUACUUUAGUUCUUAAAUUUUAAUUUAUUAUAAUUUAUGGCUCGAACUAUGAGACAUAUGAUACUUUUAGCCAUCAAACUUUAAUUUAUUAUAAUUUUUGAUUCGAACUAUGAAACGUGUGAUACUUUUAGCCUUCAAAUUUUAAUUAAUUGUAAUUUCUAGCUUGAAAUAUGAGGUACGUGACAUCUUAGCUCUAGACUUCCUAAUUUGUGGAAAUAUCUAAAGGUGUCUGUAGACUUGGUCGGGUCUAGGGUAGUUGAUAUGUGGUACUCGGGCCCUAAAAAGAAAUGGGUAGCUAAAAAAAUAUAGAUACCCUACUCAUUCAAUUUUAGGUCGGGUGCGGAUUUGGGUACUCAAGUUACUAAUAUAUUAAUUGGUUUUAUUUGAGCAGAUCUGAGUAGUGACUACUCGCAUACUACCCACUUAACAGUAGGUAAGAGUCGGAUCUAGAUCAAAUACGAGUACCCAUAUGCAUACACCUUUAUAGACUUUAUUAAACAGUCAAUGUACAAACCAUAAAUCUUUCACUAUAGAAAACUUAUGUUCUAAUGAGUUACACUGAACAAUAA
rnacentral:lncRNA from 1 species